AUAUAAAUUGAAAAUCCCGCCGAUAAAGAAAUACGGUCUAUCGUUUUUACGCUUUCUGAAUACUGAAAAUGUUCGACCAAGAAGAAUUCACGGUUACUUACAUCCUAUUUUUAGUUUACGAAAAAAUGUCUAAUAUUGUUCGUGAUUUCGUAUUUCUUUUUAUUUACAGAGUGAAAUUUAUUUGAAAACCCUUUGCAUAACGUUUAGAAUAAAAAAUAGUAAUACUAGAGAUAAUAUGUACUCAAAUAGUAGAACUAUCGAUAUUAUCGAUAGUGUUAUUUUUGACAAUAGGCAAAACAAUUCUUACAGAUCGCUAGAGGAAUUAAGAUGUAUCUAUAUGUUUUAAUAUAUUAAAAAUUUAUGUUAAAUACAUAUUAAAACAAUAUAUUAAUAAAAGAGAAAUCACAUUUAAUGUAUGAAAGGUUUUUAUUUCAAUACCGUUGAUUUCUGCACGCUCGAUGAAGGGAGAUCGAGCUUAAAGUUUGAAGUUUAUUUAUACCAAACAACGACUUUGUCCCUCAUUAUGACGCAGUUUAAAUGAAAUCGUACGGCAAAGGGUUAAUUAGUGAUUCAAAAGACAAAAAUUACGCAGUUACAAAGAUUUCUAAAAUAUUGAAAAGAAAUCGGUGUCAAAUUGGAAUCCCUCCACCUGAAAUAUUGCAAAUCGUUGCACAGUGCGGAGUUUGAAUGAACAAAAAUCAAAAUUCGCUGAUCACAUUCGCACGUUCGGUCCUGUCGGAUAAGUGGUUAUGUUUUUCUGCUUACAGAUAUGAGAUCUGCUUAUGACAGAUAUGAGGAGACGCUUUUAAUAGAUAUACUGCGUACCACCCCCACAUAUCCCACCGAUAAAAUAAUCACCAGGUUGUGUUUGUAUAUACCAGAGAAAUAUCUAUAAAUUUUUACAUUCCCUUUCAUUUCGAACAAGAAUUGUCGUUUAGUUACCGGCAUAUUUUCUAAACAAAAUCAAUGGUGAAAUUUCUAUGAUUCAUCGAUAGAUGUGAAACGUUUCCCUCCAUCUUAAAGAAAUUAAACUAAAGGUAAAGGGGAGAUAUCAUCAAUAUUUGAAAUAUUGCAAAAACUUCGAAAAUAGAAGAGUACGACUUAAGACAGAAUAAUUACCAAAGUUAUAACUGGAUAUAUAGACACCGAAAACGUUGCAAUUGGACCAAUG